UACGUAGGUGGCAAGCGAUACUCGGAAUCACUAGGCGUAAAGCGCAGGUAGGCGGCUCGAUAAGUCUCUUGUGAAAGCUCCCGGCUCAACUGGGAGAGGUCAAGGGAAACUGUUGGGCUAGAGUGUGGUAGAGGAAACUGGAAUUCCCGGUGUAGCGGUGAAGUGCGUAGAUAUCGGGAGGAAUACCUAUGGCGAAAGCAGGUUUCUGGGCCAUCACUGACGCUGAGCUGCGAAAGCUAGGGGAGCAAACAGG
rnacentral:rRNA from 1 species